UACGUAGGUGGCAAGCGUUGUCCGGAUUUACUGGGCGUAAAGAGCGCGCAGGCGGUCGAAUAAGUCGAAUGUGAAAGCCCCCGGCUUAACUGGGGAGGGUCAUUCGAUACUGCUCGACUUGAAGGCAGGAGAGGGAUGCGGAAUUCCAGGUGUAGCGGUGAAAUGCGUAGAUAUCUGGAGGAACACCGGUGGCGAAGGCGGCAUCCUGGACCGACACUGACGCUGAGGUGCGAAAGCGUGGGGAGCAAACAGG
rnacentral:rRNA from 1 species